rnacentral:tRNA from 1 species
UCCCAGGUGGCUCAGUGGUUAAGAAUCUGCCUGCCAAGCAGGAGAUGCGGGUUCGAUCCCUGGGUUGGGAA